AUUGAACGCUGGCGGCAGGCCUAACACAUGCAAGUCGAACGAGUGGCGGACGUGUGAGUAAUGUCUGGGCAACUGCCUGAUGGAGGGGGAUCACUACUGGAAACGGUAGCUAAUACCGCAUACCAUCGGAUGUGCCCAGAUGGGAUUAGCUAGUAGGUGGGGUAAAGGCUCACCUAGGCGACGACCCCUAGCUGGUCUGAGAGGAUGACCAGGCAAAAUGGAACUGAGACACGGUCCAGACUCCGACGGGAGGCAGCAGUGGGGAAUAUUGGACAAUGGGCGCAAGCCUGAUGCAGCCAUGCCGCGUGUAUGAAGAAGGCCUUCGGGUUGUAAAGUACUUUCAGCGGGGAGGCGUUACCCGCAGAAGAAGCACCGGCUAACUCCGUGACAGCAGCCGCGGUAAUUC
rnacentral:rRNA from 1 species